UACAGAGGUCCCAAGCGUUGUUCGGAUUCACUGGGCGUAAAGGGUGCGUAGGCGGUCGGGUAAGUCUGACGUGAAAUCUCCAAGCUCAACUUGGAAAUGGCGUCGGAUACUAUUCGGCUCGAGGAAUGGAGGGGAGACUGGAAUUCUCGGUGUAGCAGUGAAAUGCGUAGAUAUCGAGAGGAACACCAGUGGCGAAGGCGAGUCUCUGGACAUUUCCUGACGCUGAGGCACGAAGGCCAGGGGAGCAAACGGG
rnacentral:rRNA from 1 species